rnacentral:lncRNA from 1 species
CAAGUUGCAGAGUCACUUGACCUCAAAAAGAAGAUUUGACAGCAAGUUGAAAGGAAAACUUGUCUUUUAAUUCAUUGGCACAAGCGACAGCUAAAGGAUUGCAGUUGCGUAAAUGAAUGAUCUCUAUCCAAGAGUGGUCAUACGGCCAAUCGAGCUGUUGUAAUUUGUAGCAAUGACUCAUGCUUAGUCUACGAAGGUUCGGGAAGCUUCCACGUUGAGGUCUCCAUCGCACCAAAUCGGUGUCUUGAAUUUGAAGUUCAAUAAGUUUCAAAAAANACAGAUAAAAAAAAUUAACUUAAUUUUAUUGUUGCGUCAAGUUAGGCCGAUUUGAUCAUCGAUAGAGACCACAAUCAGAAUUCCCAUGAUUUGAACUAUAGAACCUCCAAAAUAUUACUCCCUCCGUUCCAAACGAAAUGUCUUGUUUCCUUUUUGGGCUGUUCCAAACGAAAUGUCAUGUUUCAUUUUUUGGCAAUACACACUCUCUCUAUACUUAAUAUUUAGAUAAUUUACAUCAACCCACUUUAUCUACUUUAUACACAUUUCUUAAUCUCCGUAUCGAAAAAAAUAGGAUAUUUCGUUUGGGACGGAGAGAGUACUUUCCAAUACGCCAUCGAUUUGACAUUUACAGAAUUAGGGUAUCGUCAACUAUUCGAAGCGAACUUUUAUGUGUCAGAUUGUGAAAUUAGUUUGAUGAUUUUGAAUUAAGCUCAAGAAAUGGCUAUUCCGAAUAUGGCCUUAGUUUUAGCAAUAAAUGAUCGAAUUGAUUAGGACUGAUGAUAAAAUAGAUGAAAAUUAAUUUUUUGAGUAAUUAUAUAAAAUUAUACCUACCAAUGUAUUUUAAUUUGUCCAUAAUUAUUGAAUUUCAUGCUAAAAACAAUUUUAUAAAUAUAACAUCCUAACUUUAGGUUAUAUCAUGAUUCAAGCGAAGACUUCCAACCUCCCAAUAGGUUGAGUAAGGCAAAAAUGUCAAUAGUGUGAAACUUCUAAUCCUUAUAUUCAAGAUGACUAGGAAAAUAUUCAGGUAUAGUAAACUAAAUAUAUAUAAUCCUAUCCUCCUAUGGAUAAAUAUCAAGACUUCAAUGCCCUAACUUCUAGUAACUAAUAAAUUCUCAUUUUUCUGAUGAGAUCCUUUAUCUCACAUUUUAUUCUAUCUCAUUGUGUCUUAUUAUCAAAUUUAUUAUUUUAUAACUAUUUAUUAUAAAAAUAAAAAUAUUGUUAUAUAAUAAAUUAGAAUUAAUAUUUAUCACUAAAAAUCAUUUUUUAAAAAUAUAUAUAUACUCUUCUUUUCACUACAUAAAAUUCAUCAAAUAUUACAUUAAUUAAAACUUAUGUCAAACUAAAUCAUCAUAGUUUUCAUAAAUCAUAAAUCGGAGGGAGUAAUAUGUACUAAGAAAACAUAAGGGAAUGGGUGGAAUAAAUAAUAGUUUGCAAUUAUGGGAUAUGAGAAAAUUAAUGUUGGAAUGGGCAAAUGGGAUCAAAAGCCAACAGCUCUCAAUACCAGAUCUCGAUGCAAAGCAUGUGGGAAUAGUGAUGGUGUUUCAGACGAUGUCGAUUGUUCUAUAAUUUUUUGUGUCUCGAUAUUAUAUCUGUCUCGUUUUGAACCAAUUUAAUAAAGUCUUAAGAUGCAUUCUUUUUUAUGAAAAAUGAUGAAAUACAUAUAUUUUUCCCCCCCUUUUUCCACACACAUUCUCUUAGUUAAAAUUCCAUAUUAUGUUAAAAUAUCACUUUUCAUAUAACAAGAUAACCGGUGGAAUAUCUAAAGUGCCAUGGAUUUUGAAUGUCUUUUUAAAGAAAUUGAGUUGAAUUUGAUGCCUUUUAAUUUAUAGUGAGGCAGAAUUUAAAUGAUAAAUGAUGGAGUUGGGCCUUGAUUUUGCUUUGGGCCGAAAUUUUGCUUACUAUAUCGAGAAGCCCAAUUGGUCUAUGUUAAUUGAUAGGUAAUGGGUUAGCUGAUAAAUGCUUUAGAAAUUUUAUGAAUGAUAAUUAAUGAAUUAUUUUCUUCUUUGACAACAAGAGCUCUUAAUCAGAUUCUCUUCAUAGCUAAAUCAACAACAUCUCUGCAGUUAUUUAUUUACAAUAGAGAAGAACAAACUUAAUUACCACAAUAAUUUUGUUAAUACAAACUCCCACCAAAUCAUGGCUUUUCAGCAAACAACUUUUAAAUUAAAAAAUCCACAUAGAGACUCACCGGCAGCAGGGGAAGCAACUCUGAAUUGCAAAACGACGACGUACCUUCACUUGUAAAACAUGUUUUCACAUAAAUCCUUGAACAAGGGACUAAUGUUUUCACACUAAUCCAACUUUCAAACAGUUUUGGUUACAAACACAAUCCAGCAUUCAGGUUUUCAUAACCAUCGACAAAAUCCUUCGAUGGGCUCUUUCAUUUGCCUGAAAAUCGAUAGAUGGACAAUCUCAAACACUGUGACUAUAACAGAAACAUUAAGACGUAAUAUUGCAAAGUAGUAACACUAACCUGUUUGGCAAGUCGCAGACUCACUUGACCUCAAAAAGAAGAUUUGACAAGAAGUCGAAAGGAAAACUUGUCUUUUAAUUCAUUGGCACAAGCAACGGCUAAAGGAUUGCACUCGACUAAAUUAAUGAUCUCUAUCCAAGAGUGAUCAUAUGGCCAAUCGAGCUGUUGUAAUUUGUAGCAAUCCCACAUGCUUAGUCUACGAAGCAUCGGGAAGCUUCCACGUUGAGGUCUCCAUCGCACCAAAUCGGUGUCGAAAAUUCGAAGCUCAAUAAGUUUCAAAAAACUCCCUGGUGUUAUGUCCCACUCGGGGCCUCGAAAUGCAUAGUGUUUUAAUAUGAGAAUCUCGAGAUUUGGCAGCAGCGAACCAAUGUCAUUCAUGUAAUUCCAAGGAUAUCCCCCUAACCCAGACAAACGUAACACCUUGAGACUUGAUGGAAACAUUGAAAGAGGAAUCGUAUUACACUCAUACUCUAUCUUGGGAUUCUUAACCCAAUAUUCAAGUUUCUCCAAAUUCUGGAGUUGGGAG